UACGUAGGUCCCGAGCGUUGUCCGGAUUUAUUGGGCGUAAAGCGAGCGCAGGUGGUUGAUUAAGUCUGGUGUAAAAGGCAGUGGCUCAACCAUUGUAUGCAUUGGAAACUGGUAGACUUGAGUGCAGGAGAGGAGAGUGGAAUUCCAUGUGUAGCGGUGAAAUGCGUAGAUAUAUGGAGGAACACCGGUGGCGAAAGCGGCUCUCUGGCCUGUAACUGACACUGAGGCUCGAAAGCGUGGGGAGCAAACAGG
rnacentral:rRNA from 1 species